UACGUAGGGGGCAAGCGUUGUCCGGAUUUAUUGGGCGUAAAGAGCGUGUAGGCGGCCAUUCAGGUCAGCUGUGAAAACUCGAGGCUCAACCUCGAGACGUCGGUUGAAACCGUUUGGCUAGAGUCCGGAAGAGGAGAGUGGAAUUCCCGGUGUAGCGGUGAAAUGCGCAGAUAUCAGGAGGAACACCGGUGGCGAAGGCGGGUCUCUGGGCCGAUAUCGACGCUGAGGAGCGAAAGCGUGGGGAGCGAACAGG
rnacentral:rRNA from 1 species